CUCGAACUCAUGAACCUGAUCAUGACCUAAGCCGAAGGUGAUCGCUUAACCAACCGAGCCACCCAGGUGCCUCAGAGACCUUUCUAAAUGGAGCGUGGAAGGACACAGGGAACCAGGGCUGGGACCACAUCUCAUCCGGGGGUUCUGGAAGCUUCCCAAACCUCGGGAAAUUCUGAUGAACUUCCACCAGAGAGGCACCAGGAGGAACGGCCGUCGGAUCCAGGCCACUGCAUCAGGUCAGAGGCCAAAGCAGUCAGUUGGGAUGGGACGUGCCCCACGUGAGACGGCUGGGGUUCACGGGACUCGGGGUCGGGGGUGUUUCCCAGCCCCUCCCCCUCACCGAGGAGGCCUGUGGCGGGAGGCGCGUGACUCGAGUGUUCACUUCCUGAGGCCACUUGGAAUGACUUCUCAGAAGUUUGCUCCGGAGCACAGCGCGGGUGACGGGGGACGGGGCGGGGCAGAUGAGCACCCUGAGGCCCCGAGGCAGCUAAAUGCGUCACCCAGAGGGGAACCGGCAGGCUCAGGCCACGCCCACCCUUGCGGCCACAUCGAUCCUCGUUUAUCUCUGAAAACAUCCCGGUGUCCAAAAGCAACGUGCACGGCUGACCUCGCCGGUUACCUUGGCUUGGCCGGCCCGGUAUCAGUUCCCAGCUUAUUUUUAUGAGCCGCUUAAUCUGCACACGGUCUUCUGUUCUCAAUAAAUGGGGCUGCGCAUUCCAGGAUGGCCCCGAAUGAUAACACCCGCUGUCUAGACGGAGGCCAGCCCACUGACACUAUCAUAAAUAAAAAUAGCUUUGUGUUCUA